GAUGAACGCUGGCGGCGUGCCUAAUACAUGCAAGUCGAGCGAACAGACGAGGAGCUUGCUCCUCUGACGUUAGCGGCGGACGGGUGAGUAACACGUGGAUAACCUACCUAUAAGACUGGGAUAACUUCGGGAAACCGGAGCUAAUACCGGAUAAUAUAUUGAACCGCAUGGUUCAAUAGUGAAAGACGGUUUUGCUGUCACUUAUAGAUGGAUCCGCGCCGCAUUAGCUAGUUGGUAAGGUAACGGCUUACCAAGGCGGCGAUGCGUAGCCGACCUGAGAGGGUGAUCGGCCACACUGGAACUGAGGCACGGUCCAGACUCCUAAGGGAGGCAGCAGUAGGGAAUCUUCCGCAAUGGGCGAAAGCCUGACGGAGCAACGCCGCGUGAGUGAUGAAGGUCUUCGGAUCGUAAAGCUCUGUUAUUAGGGAAGAACAAAUGUGUAAGUAACUAUGCACGUCUUGACGGUACCUAAUCAGAAAGCCACGGCUAACUACGUG
rnacentral:rRNA from 1 species